GUAUGACCAAUGGAAGGUACAGUAUGGCCAAUGGAAGGUACAGUAUGGCCAAUGGAAGGUACAGUAUGACCAAUGGAAGGUACAGUAUGACCAAUGGAAGGUACAGUAUGGCCAAUGGAAGGUACAGUAUGGCCAAUGGAAGGUACAGUAUGGCCAAUGGAAGGUACAGUAUGGCCAAUGGAAGGUACAGUAUGGAAGGUACAG